rnacentral:rRNA from 1 species
AAAUUGAAGAGUUUGAUCAUGGCUCAGAUUGAACGCUGGCGGCAGGCCUAACACAUGCAAGUCGAACGGUAACAGGAAGAAGCUUGCUUCUUUGCUGACGAGUGGCGGACGGGUGAGUAAUGUCUGGGAAACUGCCUGAUGGAGGGGGAUAACUACUGGAAACGGUAGCUAAUACCGCAUAACGUCGCAAGACCAAAGAGGGGGACCUUCGGGCCUCUUGCCAUCGGAUGUGCCCAGAUGGGAUUAGCUAGUAGGUGGGGUAACGGCUCACCUAGGCGACGAUCCCUAGCUGGUCUGAGAGG